rnacentral:tRNA from 1 species
GCCCCCAUCGUCUAGAGGCCCAGGACACAGCCCUUUCAAGGCUGCGACAGGGGUUCGAAUCCCCUUGGGGGCACCA